rnacentral:rRNA from 1 species
UACGUAGGGUGCAAGCGUUGUCCGGAAUUAUUGGGCGUAAAGAGCUCGUAGGCGGUUUGUCGCGUCUGCUGUGAAAACUCGGGGCUUAACUCCGGGCCUGCAGUGGGUACGGGCAGACUAGAGUGCGGUAGGGGAGACUGGAAUUCCUGGUGUAGCGGUGAAAUGCGCAGGUAUAUCAGGAGGAACACCGGUGGCGAAGGCGGGUCUCUGGGCCGUAACUGACGCUGAGGAGCGAAAGCGUGGGGAGCGAACAGG